rnacentral:rRNA from 1 species
UUCCCCUAGUAACUGCGAGUGAAGCGGGAAAAGCUCAAAUUUAAAAUCUGGCGGUCUUUGGCCGUCCGAGUUGUAAUUUAGAGAAGCGUCUUCCGCGCCGGACCGUGCACAAGUCUCCUGGAAUGGAGCGUCAUAGAGGGUGAGAAUCCCGUCUUUGGCACGGAUGCCUGGUGCUUCUGUGAUGCGCUCUCGAAGAGUCGAGUUGUUUGGGAAUGCAGCUCAAAAUGGGUGGUGAACUCCAUCUAAAGCUAAAUAUUGGCGAGAGACCGAUAGCGAACAAGUACCGUGAGGGAAAGAUGAAAAGCACUUUGGAAAGAGAGUGAAACAGUACGUGAAAUUGUUGAAAGGGAAACGCUUGAAGUCAGUCGCGUCGACCGAGACUCAGCCUUGCCUCGGCUUGGUGUACUUCUCGGCCCGACGGGUCAGCGUCAAUUUUGCCCCUCGGAUAAUGGCAAGGGAAAGGUGGCACCUUUACGGGUGUGUUAUAGUCUCCUGUCGCAUGCGAGGGAUGGGAUUGAGGAACUCAGCGCGCACCUUGGUGUCGGGGCUUCGGCCCACGUCACGCGCUUAGGAUGCUGGCGUAAUGGCUUUAAACGACCCGUCUUGAAACACGGACCAAGGAGUCCAACACGCCCGCGAGUGUUCGGGUGGAAAACCCGUGCGCGUAAUGAAAGUGAAAGUUGGGACCUCUGUCGUGGAGGGCACCGACGCCCGGACCAGACCUUCUGUGACGGAUCUGCGGUAGAGCGUGUGUGUUGGGACCCGAAAGAUGGUGAACUAUGCCUGAAUAGGGUGAAGCCAGAGGAAACUCUGGUGGAGGCUCGUAGCGAUUCUGACGUGCAAAUCGAUCGUCAAAUUUGGGUAUAGGGGCGAAAGACU